GAUGAACGCUGGCGGCGUGCCUAAUACAUGCAAGUCGAGCGAACAGACGAGGAGCUUGCUCCUCUGACGUUAGCGGCGGACGGGUGAGUAACACGUGGAUAACCUACCUAUAAGACUGGGAUAACUUCGGGAAACCGGAGCUAAUACCGGAUAAUAUAUUGAACCGCAUGGUUCAAUAGUGAAAGACGGUUUUGCUGUCACUUAUAGAUGGAUCCGCGCCGCAUUAGCUAGUUGGUAAGGUAACGGCUUACUAAGGCAACGAUGCGUAGCCGACCUGAGAGGGUGAUCGGCCACACCGGAACUGAGACACGGUCCAGACUCCUACGGGAGGCAGCAGUAGGGAAUCUUCCGCAAUGGGCGAAAGCUUGACGGAGCAACGCCGCGUGAGUGAUGAAGGUCUUCGGAUCGUAAAACUCUGUUAUUAGGGAAGAACAAAUGUGUAAGUAACUAUGCACGUCUUGACGGUACCUAAUCAGAAAGCCACGGCUAACUACGUG
rnacentral:rRNA from 1 species